AAAUCGGCGAGGAGCCGAAAAUCAUCAGUAAAGGCGGUAAAAGGCAGUAAACGCAGAGCGCGACAAAUGAGCACAAUUCAUACUUCUAAGUCACUAAAUCGUGUGCUCACUGUGGUUCAAAGACGCACACGAUCACGGGAGUGUUGUGCAAAUCCAAAUAUGGCAGCCUAACCAGUCAAUUGUUCCGUUUAUGCUCCGUGGUUGAUGUGAACAAUUCGGUGUUCACCUUUCUGCUCAGUCUGAAAUGCACGUUUUGCUUUUAGACUUUUCCCCCGCAAUUAUCUUCUCUGAAGUCGUCGCCAUCUUCUUCUUUGUUGUUUAAUACGUUUUGCAAACUGUAAUAGCGCAUUUUCGCCUUUUUCCCGCUCCUUGAAUCAAAUAUGCGCGCCUCGCAUCGAUGACCUAAGCACGUUGUCGUAGUGCGUUUGCUCCGUUGACCUUCAACCUUUAAAUAAGCGGAUUCCCGAAGCAGCAAAACAUUCUCGAGCAUUUUUGCCCUGGAAUACCCGGGCAUUCGUUGCAAACCUAAUUAGAAUAGAUUAAUUCUUUAUUUUCCACCGAGGUAGAAAAUUGUCUCUGGCUCACCAGCACAGGAGAUAGUUGUCACUAAAAUAACAUAUCCUACAUAAAAUAGAUGUGCUAAUUACUGGGACUUGUGGGUAUUCGCAAACGAUCGCCUGGUUCAUCCUAAAGGGUUUUUGACGGGACUUGAGGUCAGAGCUCCCAAGUUUUUGGACACCAAAUGCACCCAAGCAUGCCUUGAUCGACUUUGAUUUGUGUACUGCAUUUUUGCAGUAACAGUUAAGAACAGAAGAACACAAAUGAUCUUUCCCAAAGUCAGAAGCACAGAGAUUUACCACAAAGUAAGAGUCCUGAUCCAAAGAUCUGAUUAACUUGAGUGUCCCAAUACUUUUUGUUUUAAUGUUUCUCUGUAAAAAUGCAAUUGUUUUUUUGGGGGUGGAAAAACUGAGAAGUUACAAAAGAUGACAUGACCAGAGUGGUCACAAGGAUGAGAGCCCAAGCGCUAAAAUCACCUUCCUAUUAAACCAAAAUUCAUUCGGUCUGUAUGUCCGAGGGAUACGCGGAGGGAUUGAGGAGGCCCCACUUGCUUAAUUAGGCUCCACGAAUAUCUGAUGACCUUGUCUAUUAAAGAUCGAUGGCGGUAACAUGACUGCAUCAGCAGAUAAGGAAUGCGGGUACCUGCCUGCUUCGCUGGAUAAAAGCAUCAGUCGGAUGAAAAAUGACUAUCUAUUUAUGCAUCGUAUCGAGCUCGUGUCUAUCGUGUGCACACGUACGCUUGCUCGUGAGAGAUAUCGCAUCCCAUGAGACCCGGCCAUCACUCCUUGCCGCAUCCGUGUCCACCGCCCCGUCUCCCUUCCUCUGCCUCCUUCCUCCUUGCUGUAGCACUUUGUCGGCGUUCAGUCACGCUGACAGUCAGUCAGUCAGGUGGAAUUAAAUGAAAGCAGCGCUGAUAGAGCGCUUCACUUCAAGGAUACAAUUUAUACAAGGGCUUUAUAUUCAAUGAAACACUGUGAUAGUAGUCUGCAAUAUAAUAUACAUUUAGACAGCUUUCAAAAUGGCUCCUUCAAAGGGAUUUAUCCGCUAUUAUAUGACUUUUAAGAUUUCACAGACGCCACCGUCAGAUGCUCAAAUUUGCCUGCACCUCAAAAAUACACUAUUAUGCCUUGAGGGAUACACUGACGGUUGUUUGGCUCGCAACUGGGGUUGUACUUUAAAGGUUCUGCUUUUCUACACUGUAUGAUACAUGUCCCCAUCAUUCAACUUAUAUUAACUGCACAGGAAUAUUUUAAGCAACACAAUGGACCCCCGCAUAUUUGCAGUAUGUGUAAUGUGUACUGUAUUUUAGCUCCACUUUAACUGAGACAACAAACAGUCACUGUCAACCCUAGAAAACAUCAAACUACUUGUCCGCUCCACCCAAGUCCCCUCAACCAAGCUUCCACGGCGUCGUGUGUAGGGGCAAGUUCCACUGCCAGCCUCGCUCAUCCGAUCCCAAAUUUAACAGCAGCGGUGUUACAUUUCUGAGUGACAGUCAGCGGCAGUGGAUAGAGAGCUGCUUUGGUUCAUGAUAAUUUUUCCAAACGUGGACUAAACGGGAGCAUCCUUUAAGCUAAAGCAUCCACAGUGCAACCGCCAGAAAGAGACUUGCAUGUGAUCUGAGGUUAAUUACGGGUGGCAGGAGAGCUGCGUUGUCCCGUCGGCAGAGAAGUAACUUCAUCAUUCCGACAUCGUGAGAGAAAUGGCAUCUUUGCAGAUCGAGGAUUUAAAACUUAAAGUUGGUGGUGCUUUGUACACGUUAACAAAAGACAGUCUGCUUGAAGUUUGGGAUUUUCUAUGUAUUGCAGGUUUGGAGUUUGAAAAUAUGUCAGAUAAAUCAGUCAUGUGUUCUUCCAUCACAGUCUGCUUUGGUGCUGCUACAAAAAAGGACAAACUCCGACUGCAACGGACAAUCAAAACUGCUGAAAGGAUUGUCGCUACCCCCCUGCCCACCCUUGAGGACUUGCACGCUGCCAGAACUAGCGUGCAAAAUCCUCUCGGACCCUCCGCAUCCCGGUCACCGGCUCUUCUGGCUCCUUCCCUCAGACUGACUGGCAGCUACACGGGACGUCGACGAAAAAGUCUCCCAGCCGAGGUCGAAUUGAUUCCCUACAAGGUUGUGCAGCACACCGGCACCCUCAACCAGUGAGCACAUCGCUUGGACUCCAAGCAUAUCUUCUGUGUGCAAAGUGCAGCUCGGCAGCUCACAGCGGCGAUGAUACGAGUGGUUCCGCUGCGGAGAAAUGGACUCCGGAGGGUCAGUGGGCAACGCUCGUACCCGGGGGCAAAGGAGACCGAGGGCUAGAUGGAAAAUCCUCCUAUGCCCCGUCUGGCCCCGGUGAGAUUACCAGCGGAGUAAUAGGAUCGUCCAUUUUCUGUAAUAGAACACAGUAAGGCUAAGCCCCGGCUUGGGUCUCAAUCUGGCCCCGGAUCACUACCAAAGCGACAACAACAAAUCAAGAAACUCGGUCGGUUCUUGCUGGGAGGAAAGGAAGCUUUGUUGCCUUGGGACAUAAGCCCAGAACUGCAAACGACCAAGGAGCAAUAAUGCAACAGUGCAAUGCAAACACAAUACUGCAGAAGCAUUCUCUAUGGCAGGAGUGCUCCAAAGGUGGCCACGUAUUUGUGGCCCUCGAACGGUUACGUCCCGUUCGGAGACCACACGAGACCGGGCGUUCUAAGAAUAGUAGUUUUGCCGUAAACCGCACUUCACGUCGCGCAUGAGUAUGUGAGGUUGGCCACAUGGCAGAAGUGCCCGAAUUGAAAAACGUUUACCUUUGCAGUGUGUUUUGGUUGAGUCAGCACGCGUAGACCGGGACUUGUCUCCUCUACGAUACAUAGAUGGCCUGUAGAAAAGGUCCAAAGUCAUUUUUUG